AAGCUAUCAGACUAAAUAGUGGUAAAAUACAUAAUUUAUUUAAUGAUAACUAAGUAAUAGUAAAUUUUGUAUCAAUACGCGGAUUUUGCAUACCUGAUACUGAAGAAAUGUAAUUGAGCAACUCAGGUAUGUGAGGUUUACAGUUAUAUUUACAUAAUCUAUAGGCAGUCAACUGCCUGUAAUGUAAUUAGUUAUGAUCAACUGACGUGUGGAAAUCAGACCCUAUAGCCGGUAAGGAUACAGAGUAGGCAUGUGUUUAUUGGUGACGCACGUACACCCUGGUGCAAGGGGGAUCGCUCCACCUAACUUGCACACCAUCAGGAGAAAUCGUGCUAUAGAUAUAGAUCGAACUAAUACAUAAUCAAUAGUUGACAGGAAUUCGGAUACAUAUUCAUUACAUUCCCGAGAGCCCAUUAGCAUGCAGUCCCUCCCCCCCCUUGCGCGUGCGUAGUAGGUCAUGAUGAUGAAGGCUCAUAGUCUUCCUCGCGAAGGCUCGUAGCCUUCCUUGCUGCAAACUUCUGCCCCCAAAGGGGGGGCAUCUCCUGAACCGGUUUCAACUUGCCCUGUAGACAUCUAAUCACCUCCCUGCCAAAUGUUUUUGAGCUGCUCUCCAGUCCUUAUCUUUAUGGCCUUCAUCCUCCUUGAUAUUCCAGACCUACUGUCUGUGAAAGUGCUUGGAAUCCCUUGUUUUCUAACACUCCUUACAUAAACUAUCUCUAUUUGCUCCUUAUUUCUACUUUGUGAAGCUACUUUCCCUUUUCUUGCUCUGAGGCCCUUCUCUCUAUAACUGCAGGGUCCUGUUCUCACUCUUCACAACCCUGAUGUAUUCUCCCCAUGGCUAAAUUUUGAGAUCCUUAUUAUAACAGCUCUUUUUUUUUGUGCCACAGAAGGAUCUUUUUCUUCACUGUGUUCAUACAUCUACUCUUUGGACAAUUUAUCAAAGUAUAUAUUUUCUGUUAACCUGUUCAUUCAUCUUAGAAAUUUUCUUAUAUCUAUCUAAUUUUCUUUUAAGUAGCUUUAAUACAGAGUAUCUGGAGGAUGUUUUUCAUUUGUAAUUCAGCAAAAUCUUAAUGCAUUCUCUGCCAUGCAUAUUUUUACUACUCUUCAGAAGCCCCAGAAAUCCAGGUCAUAGCAAUAUAUGUAUAGUGAAAGUGUGUACAUAUGCACAUUUUAUACUUUCUUAGCAACUUCUUACUAGUAUGUCUCUAAUUAUAGAUAUUUUUUUUUUUUUUUUUUUUUUUUUGCUAUGGGUUCUUGUCUGUCUGUUUUUUAUUUGAUUCCUUUUCAUGUUACAAGGAUUGUUCAGUUGCAUCCUGUGGGAUAGGAAAACAGUUUCUGAUGACAGUGUUCCAAAACCAAUAAAGUAUCAGCUUAGUACUCCUAUUUCUUAUCCUAAUAUUUGUAUCUAUACAUAAAAUGACUAGUGACCAUAUUUUCAUUCACCAAAAACAUACAAGCAAAACAGAAAAACAGAGGAAAGUAUACUACAGUAAACAUAUUCAAGGUCCAAGAAUUUGCCACAAACAAGGAAAAAAUCUCAGAUCUCUUAUCUCCUUUUUCUUAUCUUAAUUACACAAAUACAUGACUUGUAUAUUGCUGGUCAUCAAGGAGUGCAUAGAAUCAUAGAAUCGCUUGGGUUGGAAGGGACCUCAAGGAUCAUCAAGCUUCAGCCCACCUGCCACAUGCAGGGCCACCAACCUACAUAUCCAAUACUAGACCAGGCUGCUCAGGGCCCCAUCCAGCCUGGCCCUUAGCACCUCCAGGGAUGGGGCAUCCACAACCUCUCUGGGCAGCCUGUCUCAUAUUGCUUUGAGAAGAGUGAGGCAAUUUGAGUGCAUGCAGGAGUACCAAACAUAUUGAUGUCAUCCUGACUAUCCCAUUUCCCUUUAAUCCAGAAAGUGAUGGGAAUGUUCCAGGAUUUUUUUACAAAUGUUAUUCCUUAAAUAUAAUCCAAAUGUUUGUUAUCAUAAUGCCAUAACACUUCAUGCAGUAUAUAUCAUACUUAGUCUGGAGAAAAGUAGGCUGAGGGGAAAUCUCAUAACUCUUCCUGCCUGAAAGGUAGGAAGGAGAGUGCUGGUCUUUUUUCUUGGAUGUUAAGUGGUAGAACACAAUGAAAUAGCCUCAAGUUGUGCCAAGGGGGAUUUAGAUUGGAUAUUAAGAAGAAUCUCUUCACAGAAAUGGUGAUAAAGCAUUGGAACAGGUUGCUUAGAGAAGUGGUAGAGUUGCAUCCCUGGUAGUAUUUAAGAGAUGUGAAUUUGGCUCUUAGGGACAAAUUUUUAGUGGCAGAUUUGGUAGUAUUAGGUUGAUGGUUGGACUUGAUUUUAAAGACCUUUUCCAGACUAAUUGAUUAUGUGAUUCUAUGAUUCCAUGAAAAGGAAUGAAUAAUUCCCUCUGUGUCUUCUAGUUCUAGCUUUCUUCAUUUGGGGAGAAACACACAGCAUAUAUUGAUUAUAGAUAUUGUUCCUAGUGCAGUUGGUAAGAUAAAUUAGUGCUAAAUACAUUGUUGAUAUGGAUUCAAUUCUCCAGUUUUCGACUGGGUUACUUACUUGAGAGAAAAAUCUCAGUAAACAGAACUGUUUUCUUGUUUGGGUUCACCUCACUGCUAAAUCUUGAGGCUUUGUAAAGUGUAAUGAACUGUUAAUUUGCAGACUAUAAUGGAUUUACUUUGUUUCCUAUAGCUCACAAUAAGGCAGAGAAAGUUGCACGUUAAUCACAUAACUGUUACUUUACUAAUGCUUUUUUCCCCGUAUUUUAAAUGUGGAAGUAUUUUGCAAUGACUACAGCUAUUAAAAAAAAAAAGAAAAAAAAAAAGAAAUUAUCAUAAAAUAGGAACAGAUCAAGUUUAUAUCCAAUUUAUUACUAUUUUAUCCUGAGGGACUGAGAUUUUAGUCUACAUUAAAAAUGUUUUAAAUAUUGUGUAGAGGGAAAAGUAUUUAAGGUCCCAGUUCACCAAUCCGUCCCUUUCAGCAAAACACUAAAAAACAUUUGAUUCCUAUUAACUUUAAUGGGUUUAAGCAUGUUUAAAUUUAAUGGACCUAAAGUUGUAACAAAUCAGUGGAUCUAAGGCAGUUUUUUUCUUCUGCAUCUAUUCUUGCCAGACAGAAUCCUGAGCAGUUCACAUAACAGUAAGUUCUAAAAGUCCUCAUGGGGCAAUGUGAGCUUUGUAACUCCUAUCAAUUAUUAUUAUUAUUUUAAUUUAAGGUAGCAGACAGACUUUCUAUUCUAGCUUUUUGGACUGAGAUGAGGCUUUUGGGAGUGAACAAGAUGAAUUAUCCAGUGAAUCCAUCUUGCAUUACUUUGAAUGGAACUUAUUGUCUGAAUGAAGGAAUAUCUCUUCUACGCCACGUGGAUGAUCAAAAUAUUCUUUUUCCAUAAAGGUCUAAAAAUGCUCGGGUUUCAGGCUGAAAUUUGGUGCUUUCUGAGACAUAAAAGGUCAAAAUUUUAGUUAUCAUUUCUUUCAAUAGCAUCAACAUAACAAGAGGCUUUAAAGUGCAACAGUGAUUCUGGUCUGGCCUUAGAUCUAACAGAAGUUACAGAAAACAUUUUUCCACUUUUAGGUUGGUCGUUUUUUGUUGGUGGUGGUGGAUGUUUUUUUUUGUUUGGUUGGUUGGUUGGUUUUGUUUGUUUGUUUUUGCUUUUGCUUUUUGUUUUUGUUUUCCUUCUGUCAUGGUUUUAUGAUUUUUGUUAUUGGUAUUCCACAUCAUAACAUCAUGUAAAGCACUGGGAGUUAAAGAGUUAAUGCCUCACUUCAGUGGACUGCUGAUUUUCCAGAUACCUGGUUCUUAGAAAAGAACUACAUACCCAAAGGACUUUGCAUCCAGAAGGAAAGAUAGAACUCCUGGCAAGUCAUGAGACUGGUCUCUUUCUCUUUCUCAUUGCCUGGCAGUGUGUGUGCUCCCCAGCCAUUUUGCCUUCAAUUCAGAUGCCCAAAACUUCAUUCUGUACUUGAGAUGAAACUGCACGAGCACACCUUUAGACUGACCUGUCAGCCAGUUGUAUUAUGUUGGAUUGCCGAGGUUAGCUGCCUCGGAGCUGUCCCAGCCAGAACCACAGCAACUGAUCAUGAGGUACAGGGGGGUUUCAGCCGGUUCCUUUAUCCAGGGAAUCCUGAGAUAACAGAGCAGUCCGGCAGCUCUAGCGAGAGCGGCUGACAUGAAGUGUGCGUUGCCAGGGCAACGGCUCUGCAUCCACGCCCCCUGCCUAGAAAAAGCUUUGGGGAGGCACCCAGACAGAGAGGAGUCAGUGUGUGAAUCAUGUGGGCCGUUCAGAAGAGGUGAAACGGCACCAAAGUAAAAUUGAAAUACCUAAAGCUCUUUGAAGAAAAGCAGAAUUUCUUAUCAGUAUUUGUUUAUACCUGGGAAGAAAAGAAAAGCUAUUUGUCACCCAGUAUUCAAGAUGACUCUUACUGCCUUAAAUUAAAUAAGUAUAUGAAAAUAUUAUUAAAUUAAUGUGUAGUUAAUUUUGCUUGGCUGAUUUUAAGGAAGUAAUCCUUGGUACCCAAAACUAUGAAGAUCUUCUGUUCUCAGCAGGAAAGCAGUUACUUUUCAUGCAUAUGCAAAGCACAGCAUAACAAAAGACCUCAUGAUCCCAUAACAACUUAUCCCGUAUGAAUAAACAUUAUUAAGCUGUAAUCUUUACUACAUGUUGUUCUUUAACAUGCUUUUGUUUUAGACUGCCUUAGAAGAUAAUGAUCUCUCAUUUGUUAGGCUAGAAUUCAGACACCUUAAGUAAUUUUUUAAUUUUCUUUUUAUGUUUUUCCUCCUUUUUUUUUUUUUUUCCCAUUUACAGAUUUGUCUGCUUGCAAGUUUAUGCCUUCAUCAGUUCCAUAUUUUCUGCUUACACAGAUACAUUUGAAUGUGGAAAAUUUAGACCUGCCAUUUUUUAUUUCAGAGAGAAUAGUUUAGGGGAAUGACAAUGCAAUAAAAGGUAAUGGACAGGUGAGAGAUGGAAGAACUGUCACAUUGACAGUAAUUUUAGUCUUUUCUCUCAGGCUUAUUUGCUUCUCAUGAUGCAUAACUGCAGGAGUUAUGUAAAUAUUUUAAUCAGGUAACAAAUACUGAUUGAAUUACAUAGUGGGACUGAUAUAAUGGGACUUAAGCUGGAUUUGUGGUGAUUUUUCUGGUGAUUAUUUUCUACAUAUUCAUCAGUGUCUUUAAAUCUAAAGUAUCUUUCAAAAAAUUUUAAAGCUUUUAAAGAACCUGAAAAUGCUUGCAAAACACCUGGGAGAAAUAAUGAUUUAUUCCACUGAAUUUUUGCAGUGUUUUAUAGUGUUUCAUUCCAUAAGAUUAGAAUAGACAUCUACUCCAAAUUUAGGAGAUGUCUUUUUACAAGAAUGAUAAAAACCAUGCCUACAAACCCAGGCCUUGUAUUCCCGGAAUCUUAUCUCAGAACAUAAACACCAGUAACAAACUGCUUGUCAAUAUUGUACAAAGAAGAAAUAGAAAGGUAUAACUGUACCAGUGCAUAAGUUGAUGGUAUAACUGCACCAAUGGGCAAGGGAAAAGCCAUUGAUAUAAUUUAUUUGGACUAUUGUAAGGCCUUCAAUGGGGUCCUACAAAUCAUCCUUCUCUCCAAAUUGGAAAGAUAUGGAUUUAAUAUGUGGACUGUUCAAUAAACGAGGAAUUGGUUUGAAGAUUGUACCCAGAGAAUGAUGGUCAGUAGCUCAAUGUCUAGAUGGAGAUUGGUGGUGAGUGGUCUCUCUCAGGAAUCAUUACUGUGACUGAUGCUCUUUAUUGUCUUCAUCAGUUACGUUGACAGUAAGAUCGAAUACAUCCUCAGCAAGUUUGCAUGCGACACCAAGCUGUGUGGUGCAAUAGACACAGAUCAGGACAGGAUGACAUCCAGAGAGGCCUAGACAGGCUCAAUCAGUGGGUCCAGAAGAACAUCAUGAGGUUCAACAAAGCCAAGUGCAGGGUCUUGUACCUGGGUCAUGGCACCCCCUGCUAUCAAUACAAGAUACAGGAUGUAAAGGUGGAGGUCAGCCCUGCCAAAAAGCCCUGGCGAUAAUGGAUAAUGUGCUGGAUAUGAGCCAGCAAUGUACCCUCACAGCCCAGGCAGUCAAUCAUAUCCUGGGUUGCAUCAAACAGACAAGUGAGUUGAACUUGCUCCUAUACUGUGCAAUAGUGAGACCUCACCUGGAGUACUGUGUCCUGAUGUGAAGCCCGCAGUACAGGAGAGACAUGGACCUGCUGGAGCACAAUUUCAUUCAUAAUUUCCUUCUUGAUCUAUAGAAAUGAAAGUCAACUAUUCUUUCACAUUCUGUGAAACUGAUGGAAAAAACAGUCUACCCCAUUCUUCUGUAGUUUACUUUUUUUGGUACACAUCACUUAUUUUAAGGAGACUCCAAAGAACAAUUUUGUAAUUUUAUUACCAGAACAUUUUUGUAACAGUUGAUGGAGUACUAGAAGUUAUUGUGUUGCUGAUGCUGAUAUAUAUAUAUAUUUUUUUCAAUAACAUUUUUCAAAUGCAUUUCCUUCGGUAAUUUUACUAAGCAAUUUUUUAAAAUUCAC
ensembl:lncRNA